CCCUCGCCUCUCGGUGCCCAGGCCUGGGGGGUAGUGAACAGUCCUCCGGCCGAGGCGGGCGUGGGGGGAGGCCUCUGUUUUAGGACCACGGUUCUGGUUACACCUGACGGGACUGCAGCUCGAUCCCCACGGAGCCUUCUCGCACCUCGUCUGCUUCCACCAGUGACGGUCCCGGCUGACGGAGCUUGCACACCGCGGAUUACGGUGAAAUGAGAAGCAAGCCCAGCAGCUGAAAUCGAGGCUUGAGGAGAGAGAAGAAUCAGUAGAUACCCGUCUUUGGAGAAUGGGGGAGUGAGCUGGCUGAGGACACCGUCUCCAGUCAUGUACAUCAUGCUGUCUGGCGGGGACAGAGUGCGGGAAGGCGAGCGGGAGAGAAGGAGGCCAGGAGUGUGGCACUAAUCCGUGUCCCCUACUUGGAAGAAGACAGCAGGUAUGGGGAAGCAGGUUUCCCUCCUAACAGUCAUGAACUGAAAGAAAGGUCUUGGACCAGAGAAGUCAUGCAUUCCCAUGCCUGGACCGUGAGGCUCCCUUCGGCCCUGAAGCAAGCACCGGCUGGGUGAGAGGGAGUGAGAAAUUUGAGGGUAUAAACAAGGAGGUGAUUACCACGUUGGCCUGUGUAACCCGAGCUAGCCACCAAGAGAAGUGCGCAGUGAAAAGGAGGCAGAACCAACCAGCUGGAGGCCCGAGUGAGGUCAAAGAGCGGCUGGCUGUGAGGGAAUGUGUUGGAAAGCUCGCGGCCUUUCGCAUAACCGGAGAAUCACUACUAUGAGCUUCUUGAGCCUUUUUUGCUGGAAUUGAACAUGCCCAGUUACUUCACGUCCUCACGUAAGCACGUUUCACAUGUGUUUAUAAACGGCCUGAUCGCUUUGUGCUGCGCGUGCUCCAGCUUGUUCCUUUGGAAGGGCGGCGCCUGGAGGCCUCGCAACCACAAAUGUUUAUGGAGAGCUUCUGCGAGGUCAGCUCUGGGCUACAGCAGGAGACAAAGCCUUCGUGGAGUGUGCCGUGUCAGAUCAGAAGAAGGUCCAUUCCUUUGGGUUUGUAUUCUUCAUAAGGGAGAGACCUCAGCUUACCUAGAGACCUGAACUUGUCUACUGGAGUUUCUUCUUCUCCCCUCUAGUUGUAACAGAGGAAUUGUUCCUUAUCCCUUCAAAAGCCAGGCUGUUUCUACUUUGGGCGUCAUUGCCUCUCACCUACUUUCUCUCUCCUGCACCACCCAUCUCUCUCUUUCUCCAUUAGGUGAUUCCCUUCAGCACGUGCAUCUCACCUUCAAAAACCCUUUCCUUGACAUGUAUUCACCUCUCCAGCUACUGCUUUGUGUUCCUUUACAACAAAACAUCUUGAAAAAAAGAAAUUCCUCUACGUGUGGUGCCUCUGAAGCUGGAAGCAGCGUGGAUGUGUUUGGAACGGCUGCGAGUGCCAUGGCAGGGAGCUGAUAAGGGAGGAAGAGCACUUUCCAGGGCGGUCGGCGCUGAGAUCAAAGCCCUCUGCAAAUAUUUUGAUGGGAGGUGGCUGUAUCAUAGCAGAGCAGGCAGUGAUGCCCCUCAGAGCACCUGUGCUGAAUCCUGGUUCUACCAUUCCAUAGCCGAUGUGACCUUGAUCAAGUUAGUUACCUUCUCUGAGCCUUAGUUUCCUCAUCUAUCGAAUGGAAGGAGAGAUACUGCUCUCCUAAGAUUGCUGUGACAAUGAAAUAGAACACAUGAAAGCGUGAGACAAAUGUUAGGAAUUAUUAUCAUACAGUAACAUUUCUCCACUGCAUUUAAAAAGAAGGCAGCUCAUCCCAGCCUGGGCCUGGGUUCUUCCCAAACCAGAGCCUGAGCCAAACGCUUGCAUGCAUGACACCCCUAUUGUCCACUCGGGAAUGCUGUCCUGGAGCAGGACUGGGAAGAGGAGGAGUGAGACAGGGAAAGAGGAGGGAAGGCUGGUACAAGUAUGUGUUGGUCAGGGCUGGGUCUGUCCAGGCUGUGGGUGACUGGUCCUCGAUCUCACACAACUUUCCAAGGAGCCUUAUGAAAUGCAUCUCUGAACAGUCCCUUCAGGGGGACUAAAAGGGGGAGCACGUAUCCAAAGACUUCCAUCUCCGUUGAUCAGGGGUGACCCGCUGGGCACUGACCAGCCCCCAUCUCUUCAGGGCUGCCUACAUGUGAGUGCCAGGUGGACCCCAGGGGAGGAAGUGAAAGUAGAAGUUGCAAGACGUGCAAAGGCCAUGUCAGGCUGUACCUUUGAAACAUACUCAGAAUGGGUUCCUGCGGCAGUGGCUGGAGUUAAGAGGUGGGAUCAGGAGGAUCUGAAAUGGAGCAGAAGAUACAACCCCAUCUGACAGAAGUGAGAGCAAAGAUGAUGAUGACAUAAAUUGGCUUUAGUAUUUACAGCAAGUAUUUUAAUACCAUCUCUUUGUAGAACAAGAGGGUAGACUUUACACAUUAGUUUUCCAUUCUAUUUUUAGAGGAAUGAUGUGUUUCUAUAGAAUUAAGAAAGUCAAUCCCCAAAUGCCCACCUGGCUUUUUAUACCAAAUUACAAUCAGAGGCAGCAUGAUCUAAAUGGAAGCGACCCAGACCAAGACCUUGGAUAAACUGCUUAACUUCACCAGUGAAGCAGGGGAAGGGAUUAUGGGGUAAACUGCUACCACCACCACCACUACUGUUACUACCACUACUGCUUGCUGCUACCACAACCAAUAUUUUCUCCCUGUAUUCUAGUGGGUUUUUUGUAGAGGAGGAUGGGGGAAAAGGGAAAUUUUUCUCUUAUGGGACAGUAAAUUGCUUCUAAUUUUUCACUACUACAGUGCUACAAUGAACAUCUGUAUACAUAUGUGAAUAUUUUUAAGGAGAGAAUCUUGGAAAUAACUGCAUAGGAACAUUUUGACAGGUAUUAUCAAAUAAACAACUUUAAAGGCUAGCAGUGUACACAAUGAUACAUGAUAAUAAUAGUCAACUAUAUAGGCAAACAUCCUCUGACAUAAAUCUUAGCAAUAUUCUCCUAGAACAGUCUACCCAGGCAAUAGAAAUAAAAGCAAAAAGAAACAAACAGGACCUAAUUAAACUUACAAGCUUGUGCACAGCAGAAAAAAACCAUAAGCAAAACAAAACAACCACCUACGAAAUGGGAGAAAAUAUUUGCAAAUAAUGUUACUGACAAAGGUUUAAUUUUCAGAAUAUAUAAACAGCUCAUAUAACUUAAUAACAACAACAACAACAACAAAAAACCAAUCUAAAAAUGUGCCGAAGACAAACAAGCAAUUCUCCAAUGAAGGCAUACAAAUCGCCGAUAGGAACAUGAAAAAAUGCUCAAUAUCGUUAAUUAUCAGAGAAAUGCAAAUCAAGACUACAAUGAGGUAUCAGCUCACACCAGUCAGAAUGGCCAUCAUUAAAAAGUCCACAAAUGAUAAAUGCUGGAGAGGGUGUGGAGAAAAGGGAGCCCUCCUACACUGCUGGUGGGAAUGUCAUUUGGUGCAGCCAUUAUGGAAAACAGUAUGGAGAUUCCUCAAAAAACUAAAAAUAGACUUACCACAUGAUCCAGCAGUCCCACUCCUGGGCAUAUAUCCAGAGGAAAAUCUAAUUUGAAAAGAUAAAUGCACCCCAAAGUUCAUAGCAGCACUACAUACAAUAGCCAAGACAUGGAAACAACCUAAAUGUCCAUCAACAGAUGACUGGAUAAAGAAGAUGUGCUAUCUUUAUACAAUGGAAUACUACUCAGCCAUAAAAAAUAAAAUAAUGCCAUUUACAGCAAUAUGGGUGGUCCUGGAGAUUGUCAUUCUAUGUAAUCCAGAAAAAGAAAGAAAAAUGCUAUAUAUCACUCAUAUGUGGAAUCUAAAAAAAAAAGAAAGAAAAAGGACACUACAUCUACAAAACAGAAACAUACUUGCAGACAUAGUAAACAAUCUUAUGGUUACUGGGUAAUAAGGAGUGGGAAGGGAUAAAUUUGGAAUUUUGAGAUUUGCAAAUGUUAACCACUAUAUAUAAAAAUAGAUAAAAAAACAAAUUUCUUCUAUACAGCACAGAGAACUAUAUAUAAUAUCUUGUGGUAACCUUUAAUGAAAAAGAAUAUGAAAAUGAAGAUAUGUGUGUAUAUAUAUAUAUGCAUGACUGGGACAUUAUUCUGUACACCAGAAGUUGACACA